GACGAUGACGGUACAGCGGUCGGGGGAAGACGUGGGGGGUGGGCGUUGGGCGGGAGUAUGGGGGGGAAAGGGGGCGUGUGCGGGUUGUUGGGUCGGGAGUGAAAACCUCAAGCUUAACUGUGGGCUUGCUUUCGAUACGGGCAGACUUGAGGGAUGCAGGGGAGAACGGAAUUCCUGGUGUAGCGGUGAAAUGCGCAGAUAUCAGGAGGAACACCGGUGGCGAAGGCGGUUCUCUGGGCAUGUUCUGACGCUGAGGAGCGAAAGUGUGGGGAGCGAACAGGAUUAGAUACCCUGGUAGUC
rnacentral:rRNA from 1 species